rnacentral:lncRNA from 1 species
ACCACCUCCACCACCAGCUUAUGAGCCACCAGCAUAUCAAGCUCCAGCUUAUGAAGCCCCAGCUAAAGGAUAUGCACCACCCCCACCACCAGCUUAUGCACCCCCUGCAUACGCACCUCCAGCUUACGAACCACCAGCAUACCAAGCACCAGCUUACGAAGCUCCAGCCUAUCAAGCUCCAGCAUAUGAAGCUCCAGCUAAAGGAUAUGCACCACCUCCACCACCAGCUUAUGCCCCACCAGCCUAUGCACCACCUGCAUACGCUCCUCCAGCAUACGAAGCUCCAGCAAAGGGCUAUGCUCCUUUACCUCCUCCUCCUGCCUAUGCUCCACCGACAUACGAAGCUCCCGCUUAUCGAGAAACUCAAGUAUCUGGUCAAGAUAGGCAAAGAACCAUCAAUCCACAGCUUGAAUUUAUACAGUCAGCCGAGAAGUUCUAUCGAACUUUUCCAGGCUUGUUAAAGACCGGUUAUUUCCAGACGAACAAUCAAUACAAUUCUGACGGCAUUGUGACGCUUUCUUAUUUGCAUUCAGGCCGAUCCACUCAACUUAGAUAUGGUAAUUCAUUUGCUUCUAACAAUGGACAGCAAGCACGAAACCCAUCAAAUUCUCAAAGAGGAAAUUCUCAAAACCAACGUGGUUACAACAUGAAUCAAGCUUUACCACAAUCUAGAGCAGCUCGACCCAACAUGUGGUCACAAAACAGCCGAGGAUCUAGGAUGUCUCAACGACAAGCAGGUUACCCUGUCGGAAGUAACAUGCUCCGAAACGA